rnacentral:rRNA from 1 species
AUUGAACGCUGGCGGCAUGCCUUACACAUGCAAGUCGAACGGCAGCGCGGACUUCGGUCUGGCGGCGAGUGGCGAACGGGUGAGUAAUACAUCGGAACGUACCCUGUUGUGGGGGAUAGCUAGUCGAAAGAUUAGCUAAUACCGCAUACGACCUGAGGGUGAAAGUGGGGGACCGGAAACGGCCUCAUGCAGCAGGAGCGGCCGAUGUCUGAUUAGCUAGUUGGUGGGGUAAAGGCCCACCAAGGCGACGAUCAGUAGCUGGUCUGAGAGGACGAUCAGCCACACUGGGACUGAGACACGGCCCAGACUCCUACGGGAGGCAGCAGUGGGGAAUUUUGGACAAUGGGGGCAACCCUGAUCCAGCAAUGCCGCGUGUGUGAAGAAGGCCUUCGGGUUGUAAAGCACUUUUGUCCGGAAAGAAAUCGCGCUGGUUAAUACCUGGCGUGGAUGACGGUACCGGAAGAAUAAGCACCGGCUAACUACGUG